AACCACGGACAGACAGGAGCCAGCAGCUAUAAAGGCAGUCAUUCUCUGGCCAGCCUCAGACUCAUCUAAAAGCAAAAAGGCCUCCAUUUUCUCUCAAGUUCCAGGCCAAGGACUGACCUGUGGGAACCACACAGGAAUACAUUCCGAGCAUCACAAGUUAAAAUCUGGUGGGGAACUUCAGACAAGAAUUCAGAAAGAAUACACGAGCCAAACAUGUUCUCUUGGAGUCUUAGGAUUAACUCUGGACAUUAUGGUCCCACAACUGCAAAGAAAUGACAGCAGCCAGCUCACUCAUAUAGAUGUUCAUAUGUCUCUAAUACCUGUCCUCCCAUUCCCCAUGACCUAUUGAUCCCUUCCAUUCAUGAAGUCCUUAUCUCAUCCCUCAUUACCCAACCUCACAUCCACCCAGCAACUACUGUAGCAUCAACUGUGUCUCAAACAACACUAGCUGUGGCUGUGGAGGAAGGGCGCUGCCUUUUCCAUGACGAGAGAAGCGCAGAUACUCUGAGCUGAUGCCGAGUGCCUCUGACAAGGAAGCGACAAUCCCACCUGUCCCACGUCUACUGACACAGGUCACAUCGCACCUGGAAGGUACCAUUCAGAGACAAGAGAAAACUGAAUG